rnacentral:lncRNA from 1 species
AAAUGCAAACCAUACUUUUACACUGGGCUGUAUUUCUUACAGGAUCCUUAAGUCCAUUUCUGCUGCAUAACUGGACAUGUAUGCUUGGUAUUUUGUGGGGUGUUUUCUCUCUCUCUCUCUCUCUCUCUCUCUCUUUUAAUUCCAGUAAAAAAAAAUAUAAAGAGAAAAAACAUAAAUAAUUCAGAACACAUGCUUUAUAUCAACUGUUCCCCUGUUACUAUUUUAUCUCUAUAAACAGGGCAGAGGCAAACCCAUCCAAACAUGGAAGGGGAGGAACAUGCAUUGCAAAAUUGUGGAUGGGUCAUAUGAGUCAAGAAUACAUCCACAUAUUUUUUUUCUGGAAGGCUUUGCUCAGUGAUUCCUGGGAGAUGUGAUGUUUGUUGAGUCUCAAAGAACUGGAAGGAGGACAAAUCACCCAACCUGCCUUUCAGGAAACAAUAAAUGCAAGAGAAGAUGGCGUUGAGCUGGAAGAGUGCGAUGGAACUUAAGAUAUUUGGACAGACCCAGCCACAGGAGAUGAAGCUUAAUUUCCCAUGUCUCAAGACAAUUCAUCUUCACGCAGUGCAGUCCAGGCAAGCCACAAGACUGGGAACCCAUGUUUUAGAGCUUGGCUCGCUAUUCUUGGUGACCUUGUUCAGCAAUGGUGUGCUCCUCUAAUGGCUGACUUCUGUUCGUUCCUUUUCAGACCCAGAAUCCUGCUAGCAACCUUCUCAAAACACUGGAGUGCUGCAUGUUUGAAGCAGACAGAAAGAAACAUAUACCUAAGUUUAAAAGUGGGGAAGAAUCUUGGCUUCUUUAAGGCUGCAUCAAGAUGGGAUCCUGCAAACAGUUUUGUUUGCCACCUAGGAAAUGUAUUCACAAUUCAUAUUCAAUUUCCUGCCUAUACAAGAAUGGAUUCUGGAUUUCAGAAACUGAUGGUGGGGUGACACUGAACAGAAGAUUAUGUGGCACUUCAUAGAACUUUUCCUUUAUUAGCUGCUCUAUAAUCACAUUAAGUUAGACUGAAAAUUUGAACUAAUUCUUUCCCAUGAGACCCAGGCUGUAAUAAUGGUAAAAAUCUGUGAAAUAGGAUAAAUACAAUUCAAUAAUUAUAUUGAUAAAUAAAAUGAAAAUCAACUAAUUGUGUCA